UGGGGAAUAUUGGACAAUGGGGGCAACCCUGAUCCAGCGAUGCCGCGUGUGUGAAGAAGGCCUGCGGGUUGUAAAGCACUUUCAGUGGGGAGGAGGACUUGGAGGUUAAGAGCUGCCAAGGUGGACGUUACCCACAGAAGAAGCACCGGCUAACUCCGUGCCAGCAGCCGCGGUAAUACGGAGGGUGCAAGCGUUAAUCGGAAUUACUGGGCGUAAAGGGUGUGUAGACGGUUUAAUAAGUUAAGUGUGAAAGACCUGGGCUUAACCUGGGGGAGUCACUUAAGACUGUUAGACUAGAGUAUGGGAGAGGGUAGUGGGAUUUCCGGUGUAGCGGUGAAAUGCGUAGAGAUCGGAAGGAACACCAGUGGCGAAGGCGGCUACCUGGCCUAAUACUGACGUUGAGGCACGAAAGCAUGGGGAGCAAACAGG
rnacentral:rRNA from 1 species